GCAGUCGAACGAGAAUCUAUGGAAAGAGGAUUCGUCCAAUUGAAAUAGAGGACAGUGGCGGACGGGUGAGUAACGCGUGAGGAACCUGCCUUUCAGAGGGGGACAACAGUUGGAAACGACUGCUAAUACCGCAUAACGCGUAGAGGUCGCAUGGCCUUUACGCCAAAGAUUUAUCGCUGAAAGAUGGCCUCGCGUCUGAUUAGCUAGUUGGUGAGGUAACGGCCCACCAAGGCGACGAUCAGUAGCCGGACUGAGAGGUUGAACGGCCACAUUGGGACUGAGAUACGGCCCAGACUCCUACGGGAGGCAGCAGUGGGGAAUAUUGGGCAAUGGGCGCAAGCCUGACCCAGCAACGCCGCGUGAAGGAAGAAGGCUUUCGGGUUGUAAACUUCUUUUGUCAGGGACGAGCAGAAGACGGUACCUGACGAAUAAGCCACGGCUAACUACGUGCCAGCAGCCGCGGUAAUACGUAGGUGGCAAGCGUUGUCCGGAUUUACUGGGUGUAAAGGGCGUGUAGCCGGGUCGGCAAGUCAGAUGUGAAAUCCACGGGCUUAACUCGUGAACUGCAUUUGAAACUGUUGAUCUUGAGUAUCGGAGAGGCAAUCGGAAUUCCUAGUGUAGCGGUGAAAUGCGUAGAUAUUAGGAGGAAC
rnacentral:rRNA from 1 species